rnacentral:rRNA from 1 species
UACGUAGGGGGCAAGCGUUGUCCGGAUUUAUUGGGCGUAAAGAGCGUGUAGGCGGCCAGGUAGGUCCGCUGUGAAAACUCGAGGCUCAACCUCGAGAUGUCGGCGGAAACCAUCUGGCUAGAGUCCGGAAGAGGAGAGUGGAAUUCCUGGUGUAGCGGUGAAAUGCGCAGAUAUCAGGAAGAACACCCGUGGCGAAGGCGGCUCUCUGGGACGGUACUGACGCUGAGACGCGAAAGCGUGGGAGCGAACAGG